GCCGGGCAUGGUGGCUCAUGCCUGUAGUCCCAGCUACUCGGGAGGCUGAAGUGGGAGGAUUGCUUGAGCCCAGGAGUUCUGGGCUGUAGUGUGCUGUGCAGUUCGGGUGUCCACACUAAUUUCAGCAUCAAUAUGGUGACCUUCCUGGAGCGGGGAACCACCAGGUUGCCUAAGGAGGAGGGGUCAACCAUCCCAGGUCGGAAACAGAGCAGGUCAAAACUCCUGUGCUGAUCAGUAAUAGGAUCACGCCUGUGAAUAGCCACUGCACUCCAGCCUGGGCAACACAGUGAGACCCCGUCUCU
rnacentral:SRP_RNA from 1 species